AGAGUUUGAUCAUGGCUCAGGACGAACGCUGGCGGCGUGCUUAACACAUGCAAGUCAAGGGGGCCCGCAAGGGUAACCGGCGAACGGGUGCGUAACACGUGAGCAAUCUGCCUAGAUGUGGGGGAUAGCCGGCCCAACGGCCGGGUAAUACCGCAUACGCUCACCGGGUGGCAUCACUUGGUGAGGAAACAUUCGUGGCAUCUAGAGGAGCUCGCGGCCUAUCAGCUAGUUGGUGGGGUAACGGCCUACCAAGGCAUUGACGGGUAGCUGGUCUGAGAGGAUGGCCAGCCACAUUGGGACUGAGAUACGGCCCAGACUCCUACGGGAGGCAGCAGUGGGGAAUAUUGCGCAAUGGCCGAAAGGCUGACGCAGCGACGCCGCGUGGGGGAUGAAGCAUUUCGGUGUGUAAACCCCUGUUGCUCGGGACGAACAACUGGUUUCGACCAGUCUGACGGUACCGGGUGAGGAAGCACCGGCUAACUCCGUGCCAGCAGCCGCGGUAAUACGGAGGGUGCGAGCGUUGUCCGGAAUCACUGGGCGUAAAGGGCGCGUAGGCGGUCUGUUAAGCGUGUGGUGAAAGCUCGGGGCUCAACCCCGAGUCUGCCAUGCGAACUGGUGGACUUGAGCACUGUAGAGGCAGGUGGAAUUCCGGGUGUAGCGGUGGAAUGCGUAGAGAUCCGGAAGAACACCGGUGGCGAAG
rnacentral:rRNA from 1 species